GAAAAAGAAGACAGUUUUAAUUUAUAAAGCUCAAAGAUAAAUCAGAAUUCAAAUUUAGAAGUAAGAGAUGCAAGAAGAUUUGAAUGAGUCUACACGAGGCACCCCUUUAAAUCCUCAGAAGCUGCUCUCAUCUCUGUCCCCAAAGAUUCCAGAUCGAGGCCUACAAAAUGGAGAUGUCCUGAUCGCAAUCGAACAACAGUGUCUAUUGCAGCCUGCAUUUCACUACCUCCUUUAUUGCUUACGACGAUCACCUGCAUGCUAUGAAUACAACAUAAGGAAAGACCUGCUGUU